rnacentral:rRNA from 1 species
GAUCCUGGCUCAGGAUGAACGCUGGCGGCGUGCCUAACACAUGCAAGUCGAACGAGGUAAAUAAGAGGAAGUUUUCGGAUGGAAUCGUAUUUACCGAGUGGCGGACGGGUGAGUAACGCGUGGAUAACCUGCCUCAUACAGGGGGAUAACAGUUAGAAAUGACUGCUAAUACCGCAUAAGCGCACAGUACCGCAUGGUACGGUGUGAAAAACUCCGGUGGUAUGAGAUGGAUCCGCGUCUGAUUAG